rnacentral:lncRNA from 1 species
CUAAAUAUGCACUAGAACAUGUUUGGGAGUGUUUUUGGGCAUUCGGUUCCGGCACGAAAAAUGAUGCAAAACGGGUGCAUUUCGGCACCCGAAUGCACUAUUGCCGGGUAGCGAAACUCGGGUGGAUUUUUUUCGCAACGAACGCAUGCAAUCUUCCUAAAUAUGCACUAGAACAUGUUUGGGAGUGUUUUUGGGCAUUCGGUUCCGGCACGAAAAACGAUGCAAAACGGGUGCAUUUCGGCACCCGAAUGCACUAUUGCCGGGUAGCGAAACUCGGGUGGAUUUUUUCGCAACGAACGCAUGCAAUCUUCCUAAAUAUGCACUAGAACAUGUUUGGGAGUGUUUUUGGGCAUUCGGUUCCGGCACGAAAAAUGAUGCAAAACGGGUGCAUUUCAGGCACCCGAAUGCACUAUUGCCGGGUAGCGAAACUCGGGUGGAUUUUUUCGCAACGAACGCAUGCAAUCUUCCUAAAUAUGCACUAGAACAUGUUUGGGAGUGUUUUUGGGCAUUCGGUUCCGGCACGAAAAACGAUGCAAAACGGGUGCAUUUCGGCACCCGAAUGCACUAUUGCCGGAGAGCGAAACUCGGGUGGAUUUUUUCGCAACGAACGCAUGCAAUCUUCCUAAAUAUGCACUAGAACAUGUUUGGGAGUGUUUUUGGCCAUUCGGUUCCGGCACGAAAAAUGAUGCAAAACGGGUGCAUUUCGGCACCCGAAUGCACUAUUGCCGGGUAGCGAAACUCGGGUGGAUUUUUUUGCAACGAACGCAUGCAAUCUUCCUAAAUAUGCACUAGAACAUGUUUGGGAGUGUUUUUGGGCAUUCGGUUUCGGCACGAAAAACGAUGCAAAACGGGUGCAUUUCGGCACCCGAAUGCACUAUUGCCGGGUAGCGAAACUCGGGUGGAUUUUUUCGCAACGAACGCAUGCAAUCUUCCUAAAUAUGCACUAGAACAUGUUUGGGAGUGUUUUUGG